AUUAAAACAUGGGGGCAGUUUCCGCAUACGGUUCUCAUGGUAGUGAGUAAGUCUCACGAGAUCUGAUGGUUUUAUAAAUGGGAGUUCCGCUGCGCAAGCUCUCUUGCCUGCCGCUGUGUAGCAUGUGACUUCGCUGUUCUUUGGCCUUCCACCAUGAUUGUGAGACCUCCUCAGCCAUGUGGAACUAUCUCUUGGGGCUGCCUGUAGGUGGAUAUGUUCAUGGAAGACGGUGAAAAAGACAAGAAUAGGAUUUGCUGUAUAGAAUCACUAUAGUCACCAUCACACUGAGUAUCAACAACAUCUCUUGUUAUCCUCACAACUGUGCAAAACAGAUAUCCGACAGAGAGAAAGAGAAUGUGAUUGACUCUUAACUAGAGUCACGCACCACUCUGGAUCAAUCAUCUGAGGCCUGGGAGAAGUGUCAUAACACAGGCAAACGAAGAGGAUAAAUAAAGAAUGAGUGUCCCCCAGACCAUCUGGAAACCCCACCUGUGCAUCUUAAAUAAGGAAGGACCAAGCAGAUAUCAGAAAGAGGGAUGUUGGGGGAACAAGAAACUAACCAGCCUGCAGGAGUCGCUGGAGGCCAAAGACAAAUAUUUUCGCCGAGGAGAAUUUGGAAAAUUUCGCAGUAUAUAAAAAAAGAAAAUUAAAAGUCUCCAUCAUACCAUCUAUCAGCAA
rnacentral:lncRNA from 1 species